AUUGAACGCUGGCGGCAUGCUUUACACAUGCAAGUCGAACGGCAGCGGGGAGGAGCUUGCUUCUCUGCCGGCGAGUGGCGAACGGGUGAGUAAUACAUCGGAACGUGUCGAGAAGAGGGGGAUAACCACCCGAAAGGGUGGCUAAUACCGCAUAAAUUCUGAGGAAGAAAGCUGGGGACCUAGGAAUAGGCCUAGCGCUUUUUGAGCGGCCGAUGUCGGAUUAGCUAGUUGGUGAGGUAAAGGCUCACCAAGGCGAAGAUCUGUAGCGGGCCGGAGAGGAUGCUCGGCCACACUGGAACUGGGACGCGGCCAAGCUGCCUAGGGGAGGAAGCAGUGGGGAAUUUUGAGAAAUGGGGGAAACCCUGAUCCAGCCAGGCGGGGGGUGAGAAGAAGGCUUGGGGGUUGUAAAUUCUUUUUUUGAGGGAAAAAAAGUCGGCUGAAAAAAAGGGCUGAUAGUGACGGUACAUAAGAAAAAAGCACCGGCUAACUACGUG
rnacentral:rRNA from 1 species